AUUGAACGCUGGCGGCAUGCUUUACACAUGCAAGUCGAACGGUAACAGGGAGCUUGCUCCGCUGACGAGUGGCGAACGGGUGAGUAAUGCGUCGGAACGUGCCGAGUAGUGGGGGAUAACGCAGCGAAAGUUGUGCUAAUACCGCAUACGUACUGAGGUAGAAAGUGGGGGACCUUCGGGCCUCACGCUAUUCGAGCGGCCGACGUCUGAUUAGCUAGUAGGUGAGGUAAAGGCUCACCUAGGCGACGAUCAGUAGCGGGUCUGAGAGGAUGAUCGCCCACACUGGGACUGAGACACGGCCCAGACUCCUACGGGAGGCAGCAGUGGGGAAUUUUGGACAAGGGGCGAAAGCCUGAUCCAGCCAUGCCGCGUGUCUGAAGAAGGCCUUCGGGUUGUAAAGGACUUUUGUCGGGGAGGAAAUCCCCAGCGCUAAUACCGCUGGGGGAUGACAGUACCUGAAGAAUAAGCACCGGCUAACUACGUGCCAGCCGCCGCGUAACAC
rnacentral:rRNA from 1 species